rnacentral:rRNA from 1 species
GACGGGGGGGGCAAGUGUUCUUCGGAAUGACUGGGCGUCAAGGGCACGUAGGCGGUGAAUCGGGUUGAAAGUGAAAGUCGCCAAAAACUGGCGGAAUGCUCUCGAAACCAAUUCACUUGAGUGAGACAGAGGAGAGUGGAAUUUCGUGUGGAGGGGUGAAAUCAUUAGAUCUACGAAGGAAGGCCAAAAGCGAAGGCAGCUCUCUGGGUCUCUACCGACGCUGGGGUGCGAAAGCAUGGGGAGCGAACGGG